UAAGGUUAGCGGCGGACGGGUGAGUAACACGUAGGUAACCUGCCUGUAAGACCGGGAUAACAUUCGGAAACGAAUGCUAAUACCGGAUACACGGCUUGUCCGCAUGGACGAGCCGGGAAAGACGGUGCAAGCUGUCACUUACAGAUGGACCUGCGGCGCAUUAGCUAGUUGGUGGGGUAACGGCUCACCAAGGCGACGAUGCGUAGCCGACCUGAGAGGGUGAUCGGCCACACUGGGACUGAGACACGGCCCAGACUCCUACGGGAGGCAGCAGUAGGGAAUCUUCCGCAAUGGACGAAAGUCUGACGGAGCAACGCCGCGUGAGUGAUGAAGGUUUUCGGAUCGUAAAGCUCUGUUGCCAGGGAAGAACGAGUGGGAGAGUAACUGCUCCUGCUAUGACGGUAC
rnacentral:rRNA from 1 species